AUUGAACGCUGGCGGCGUGCCUAACACAUGCAAGUCGAGCGGUAACAGGUGUAGCAAUACAUGCUGACGAGCGGCGAACGGGUGAGUAAUGCUUCGGAAUCUACCCAAUGGUGGGGAAUAACCAGCCGAAAGGUUGGCUAAUACCGCAUACGUCCCACGGGAGAAAGCAGGGGAUCGCAAGACCUUGCGCCAAUGGAUGAGCCGAAGUCGGAUUAGCUAGUUGGAGGGUAACGGCCUACCAAGGCGACGAUCCGUAGCUGGUCUGAGAGGACGACCAGCCACACUGGGACUGAGACACGGCCCAGACUCCUACGGGAGCAGCAGUGGGGAAUAUUGGACAAUGGGGGAAACCCUGAUCAGCGACGCCGCGUGUGUGAAGAA
rnacentral:rRNA from 1 species